AUGAGAGGUGAAACGUCUUCAAGCAACUCAAAGAAGUCCAGACGCUUUUCUUUGCAAACUCCUUUGACUACGAUGACCUGGAUGACUGAGAACCUUCACAGACAUAUUGCCGUACAUUUUGGGAGGAACACCCUUCAACUGGUACGGGAAUAUGAAAGGGAAUCAAGGAAACUGGCGGAUUAUAGGAACCACCUUCGUUUCAACCUAAGAUGCAGACAAAGCAGAGUUGUUCCUAAGAGCUUGCGCCUUGGAUCCACUGUCAGGGGACACAGAGCAGAUUUGAUUCUACAGAGAGCACAGAAUCACCUUCUAAGUGAAAGGAUAAGACAGGUCCAUUUCACUAUAGAUGCGCUCCAGAUCAAGAUCAGCCAGACUCUGCAGGAAUUGGAAACCCUUCUACCCUCUCCAAUCUUAGAAGAGGUUCACAAGUUUGUGGACAAGGCUCAGCGGGCCCAACACUCUCAAGGAAAAGAAAGACAACGCAGGAAAUUUCACACCUUGCUUUCAAAAACCCACACUCCUCAGUCUGAAACCACACAACUCAGAGAAGAAAACACACCUGAAGACAGUCGGGAGAAAUGGGUAAAGAACUUUUCAGACCGGAAUCUCACUGAACCUGAAAAGAAGGUUUUAGCCAAAGGACUCAAUUUCGCCAUUUCUCCGCAACAGUUGCCCAUAGUGGACCUCAUCACAGCCACAGAAACCGCCAUACGGAUUAAUAAAUUAUCACAGACCGAAGCAGAGCAAAUCAGGAUGAAAGUCUCAGCCACCCUCUCCAGUGCCAAAGUCCCUCCGUCUAACCUCACACUACAAGAAAAGAAGGCCGUUGCUUCCCUGAGCAAAGACCACAACAUCACUAUAUUACCAGCGGAUAAGGGAAGGUGCACCGUGGUCCUAAACACAACAGAUUACCACACGAAGAUCACUACUCUCCUCAGUGACAACAACACCUACGAAGCUUUAAAACGAGACCCCACAAGCAGCUACAAGAAGAAAGUUAUAGCUUGCCUUCAAGACCUUGAAAAGGACAAAAUCAUUGACCGCCUCACAUAUCACCGCCUUUAUCCAGGGGAUGCCAUACCCUGCAUUUAUGGACUUCCUAAGAUCCACAAGGAAGGGGUCCCACUCAGACCCAUAGUCAGUAGCAUAAACUCAGCCACUUAUAACAUUGCGAAACACCUUGCUACCAUCCUGGCACCUCUCGUGGGGAACACCCCACACCACAUCAAGAACUCCACCGACUUCACCGACAAGGUCCAGAAACUUACCCUGGAUCCAGAUGAAACCAUGGUGUCCUUUGAUGUAGUCUCUCUCUUCACUUGCAUACCCACCACGGAGGCAGUGGAGACUGUCAGAAAACGACUACAAGAAGACAGCUCCUUGGAAGACAGGACCAACUUCACACCCGAUCAGAUCUGCACACUGUUAGACCUCUGCCUUACCACAACAUACUUCAAAUACAACGAAGGCUUCUACAGACAAAAACAUGGCUGUGCCAUGGGCUCCCCUGUGUCACCUAUUGUAGCCAACCUUUACAUGGAAGAAGUGGAAAGAAAGGCUCUUGGCUCUUUUAAAGGGAGAGUACCCAGCCACUGGUACAGAUAUGUAGACGACACCUGGGUCAAAAUCAAGACACAAGAAUAUGGGCAGAAAUCUGUGCCAUCAGAAACUGAAUUUGAAUAA
rnacentral:lncRNA from 1 species